UAUAUUUCAAGCCUUUCUGAAGCCUGUGGAAGAGUGCUGGGGCAUAAUUUUCAUGGCCUAACUUUCCUGAAGCCUCGGUCGUCAAAAUAUCGAAAAAAAAAGUUAUGGGUUUUUAAAACGAAAAAUAUUCAAAUUUUUUCAGUUUAAGAAAAUCGAAAACAACAAAAAUGUUUCUAAAAAAUUCUAAAAAUUUUAUUCUUAUUUAUUGAUUCAAAAAUUGAAAAUUUUGGAUUUUUUUUUCUGGCUCACUAUCAGAUUUCUUGAUUUUCCUUUUUUUUUCUAGAAAAUUUCUAUUUUUUUAAAUAAAAAAAUGUGGAAAUGUUAUUUCUUUUGAUACAUAAUAUACAUGGUACGAUACAUUUUAAAUAUUCCAAAUCGGCCAAAUAUCAUGAUAAAACACUAGAAAAUUUUAAAGGUUUUUUGGCAAAUUUCUAAAGCCUACAACUCCUAGAAUAUUUAACAAAAAAUAUUUUAAACGCAAUUAAAAUAUAAAAAUCGUAGAGAAAUUUUUUGUUGGUCGAGUUCCAAAAAAUAAAAAAAAUUGGAAAUUUGGAAGAAAAAAACAUUUUUUUAAUGGUUCUUUAAUCAAUUAAACUUUAAUUAUUGGUAUUUAAAUAUUUUGAGGAGGUGGACAUGCAAAUCCUAAACAAAAGCAAAAUGCGUUGUCAAUUUAAAUUUUAGUUUUUUUUAAAUAUGAAAAAAACACAAAAAUUUCAGAUCUAAAAUAGAAGUUGUCAAAAAAUUCUCAAAAAAAGUGCUGAAAGUGAUGGCUGACCUCGAAAAGGGAAAUGUUAUGGGUAUAAGAGAGAGAGAGAGAGAGUGGCCGCAGGAAAAAAAACGGGUUGGCGCCCCCCGGAGAAGACGAGAUGCGGGACGAAUAAUUUGGUUUUGACAACGACGGAAAAUACGAAGAAGACGAAGAAGAAGACGACGAUGUGUAUGUUCUUCUUUUGUCGAAAUCCGGCCCUUUUGGUGGUGUCUGCGUCUCUCUUUCUCUCUAUAGAAAUACACUCCAAGCACACUUGAGGUAAAUAAAAUUGAGAAGUGGUUGUGGUGGUGGCACAUAGGUGUUUGUAUGAUGAGAUUGAGAGAGAGAGAGUGGAUUAAUAUAAUUGAUUGAUUGAAAAUGUGAUCGAGAGGGAAAUUCGAUCGAGAGGGAUCGAGAGGGAUUGAUAUGGCGACCCUAGUGAUGAAUAAGGUUCAGGAAAACUAGCAUAACUUUUUAAAAAUGUCAUCUAACAAUUUUUUUAAUAUUUUUUUCUGUAAGAAAAACAUUGAAAAAUACAUAGUUUUGGUCACUUUUCAGUUGUAUUGGCUAAGAAUCAAGUAAGAUAUUUCAAUUUAAAUUCGAAAAUUGCAGUAGGUCAACUCUCCCCGACCAGAAAUGGUUAGGUUUGUGGAAAGUGACAUAACUUUGUAGAUGCGUCAUCUAAAAAAUUUUUUAAUGUAUUUUAUAAAAGAAAAACAUUUAACGAUAUUGUUGGUAAGUUUUCAAAUAAAUUGGUUAAAAAUUGAGUGAGACAUUCUAGUUUAAAUUCGAGUAAUAUCCGCUUUCCACUGCAAAAGAUUAACUAAUUGAAUUUUCCAAUAUUUUCUAAGAUUAUGAAAUAAUUUGUAAAAUAUCUUAAUAACCACAUUUUGUAAAUAUGAAAUAAAAAAGUUUCAACAAAAAAAUCGAUAAAAACUUUUUUUUUCGAAUUUUUCGAAAAUUUAAACUCUAACAAUAAACUCGGGUAUUUUUUAGCUUUAAAAAUUAUUUUUUGGAAUCAAAUCUACGAAAUUAUUCAAAUUAGCGUAAAAAUUCUGCUCACCAAUCAGCGGCGUUGCCCACGCCCCUGGGCAACGCUUUAACUCUUUUUACUCAUUUUGGCACUUUUUUGAGACAUUUUUUGAAGAUUGGCUUUACGUAAAGUAAUUUCACAUCAACAUUUUUUGUAUUGCCUACUGCCAAAUAUUGUAGGCACGUAGGCAGGCACACAUGCCGGCAAAUAGGCAUGCUCCAAUUAAAGAUCACUCCUCUCCAAAUAUUAUGGGUAUUGGUGUCUAGAGAGCAACAACAAAAAAUGGGAAGCAUAAAGCAAUUCAAAGAUUCCUCCUUUUUUUCUUUUCUCGCACGCGAUAGAUGUUUGGCAAAAGAAAUGACGCGUGGCUUUCGAUAUCUGAAAAAAUAAUAUUCAAAAAAAAAAAAUAUUUUUGUU
ensembl:lincRNA linc-147 ncRNA